rnacentral:rRNA from 1 species
UUCGCCCUUAGAGUUUGAUCCUGGCUCAGGAUGAACGCUGGCGGCGUGCUUAACACAUGCAAGUCGAGCGGAGAUAAAUUGAAAGCUUGCUUUUAAUUUAUCUUAGCGGCGGACGGGUGAGUAACGUGUGGGCAACCUGCCUCAUACAGAGGGAUAAUCAUGUGAAAACGUGACUAAUACCGCAUGUCGUUUCGGGAGGGCAUCCUCCUGAAAGAAAAGGAGCAAUCCGGUAUGAGAUGGGCCCGCAUCUGAUUAGCUAGUUGGUGAGAUAACAGCCCACCAAGGCGACGAUCAGUAGCCGACCUGAGAGGGUGAUCGGCCACAUUGGGACUGAGACACGGCCCAAACUCCUACGGGAGGCAGCAGUGGGGAAUAUUGCACAAUGGGGGAAACCCUGAUGCAGCAACGCCGCGUGAAGGAAGACGGUUUUCGGAUUGUAAACUCCUGUUGUUGAGGAAGAUAAUGACGGUACUCAACAAGGAAGUGACGGCUAACUACGUGCCAGCAGCCGCGGUAAAACGUAGGUCACAAGCGUUGUCCGGAAUUACUGGGUGUAAAGGGAGCGCAGGCGGGAAGACAAGUUGGAAGUGAAAUCCAUGGGCUCAACCCAUGAACUGCUUUCAAAACUGUUUUUCUUGAGUAGUGCAGAGGUAGGCGGAAUUCCCGGUGUAGCGGUGGAAUGCGUAGAUAUCGGGAGGAACACCAGUGGCGAAGGCGGCCUACUGGGCACCAACUGACGCUGAGGCUCGAAAGUGUGGGUAGCAAACAGGAUUAGAUACCCUGGUAGUCCACACUGUAAACGAUGAUUACUAGGUGUUGGAGGAUUGACCCCUUCAGUGCCGCAGUUAACACAAUAAGUAAUCCACCUGGGGAGUACGACCGCAAGGUUGAAACUCAAAGGAAUUGACGGGGGCCCGCACAAGCAGUGGAGUAUGUGGUUUAAUUUGACGCAACGCGAAGAACCUUACCAAGUCUUGACAUCCUGCGACGGACAUAGAAAUAUGUUUUUCCUUCGGGACGCAGAGACAGGUGGUGCAUGGUUGUCGUCAGCUCGUGUCGUGAGAUGUUGGGUUAAGUCCCGCAACGAGCGCAACCCUUAUGGUCAGUUACUACGCAAGAGGACUCUGGCCAGACUGCCGUUGACAAAACGGAGGAAGGUGGGGAUGACGUCAAAUCAUCAUGCCCUUUAUGACUUGGGCUACACACGUACUACAAUGGCGUUAAACAAAGAGAAGCAAGACCGCGAGGUGGAGCAAAACUCAGAAACAACGUCCCAGUUCGGACUGCAGGCUGCAACUCGCCUGCACGAAGUCGGAAUUGCUAGUAAUCGCAGAUCAGCAUGCUGCGGUGAAUACGUUCCCGGGCCUUGCACACACCGCCCGUCA